CUUAGUGGGACCUAUUGCAUGUGUAUAUGUCACAUUUUGAUAAAGCAUAUCUUGCUUAAAAAUAGUCUUAGAAUUGUUUACAAUACACCAUUAAAAAAAAAUAAAAUAAGCUUUUUUUACUGUACAAUGUACCUAACCUAAUCUAAAUAUACAAUAAAAAAAGUUUUAAUGAGAAAUUUAAAAAUACAUAAUAGUAAAAUAUACCAAAAA
rnacentral:lncRNA from 1 species